AAUUAGGGAAAUUUUUUCGUUGCAUAAAGUUAGACGAUGAAAUUGUCAAAGGAAAAAAACGUUAUCGAUACAAUACUUUACUUUAAAAGAGUCAGCGUUUAAUUCUCGAACAGCGCUGGUUCCACUCGAACUGGACUGGACGAGAUCCCUCAGUUGGAUGCAACCGGUUUCGUUUACGACCCUAAAAAACUACGGAGGAUUAAAUUAAAGCCUCGUCGUUCUGUAAUCAUCGACGGACUUAAGUCACCCUGGUUCCAGACCAGACUAGGAAAGGAAAUUGGCUCUCUCUUCGUUGUAGACGUUUCUCGGCUACGCGCACACUUUGCUUUGCUGUAAUUGUAUACAAUCAAUAUCUUCCCUGCGAUUAUUACGUUUUGAAAAUAAACACACUACAACAAACAAUACCAGUUUAGCAUUUAUAUUAUCGAUGUAUGAAUGCCGACAGCCUGACGACAGUCGUACAAAUCGCUCUUCUCAACAGAUAGCGA